AUUCUUGCUAUGAAAUAUUUAAUAUUUGAAUGAUAUUCAUGAAAGAGCAUGUUGACUAGUGAAUUGUUUGUUUUGCAGAAAAGUGCGCAAAGGCACUAUAAACUUCAAGAUUCGGUCGGAUUGCCAAACGCGGCGAGACUUGGGGCUUGAACGAGAGAACGAGGGACCCGAGCGAGAAGAAAAGAAGUAACCGAGGGGCAAAAGAAUGAUAGAAGGAUCUUCUUGUGAAGAAGGAAGAAGAGAUGAAGGGCCAAUUAGCAAAGUGGCAGAUGAGAGGAGGGGAUCAAAUCCCUAGCGCAGCCUCAAUUCCCGUCGGGCCUGGCUACAUCUCCUCCUCCCCCAACCUCCUUCUCCACCUCCGGCCGCCGCCAUGGCCUGGUCGGCGUGGUAGGUGCGCCAUCCAUCUCCACCAUCUGCUUCACAGCACCACCUCCUACCACCACAUCCACCAUCAGCGCCUCCAACCAUCCAGUCAUCACCGCCGCCACCAGCGCCGCAUCUCCACCACAUCUGCAGCCCAUCGGCUGCUCCUCCUCUCUUCUCUCAAAGCCCCUGCUGCUUCUUCCUUCUCCAACCACCUGUUGCUGCCUCCUCUUCCCCAAGCCCAACUGUUGUUUCUUUCUUGUUGCGCCCCUGCUUCUUCUCCCCCCCCCCCUCCUUGCUGCUACUCCUUCCUCUCACGUCCCCUGCUGCUGCUCUUCUUCUUGCGCCGAUCUGCUGCUGCUCUGCUUCCUCCACUAAACUGCUGCGCCUCUGCUCCUUCUCUGAACCGAACUGCUGCUGCUCCCUCUCCCACGAGCCUGUUGCUGCUCUUCUCUCCCUAAUGCCCUUGCUUCAUCUCUGAACCCAUCUCUGUUACUGUUCUUCUUCACCAAACUCUCACUGCUGCUGUUCCUUUCCUUCACUCUGUUUCUCUACAUUCUCAAGUAAUUUUGGUGUACCAUGAUUGUGUGAUGACGAGAUAUGUUCAGUCCAGAGACACGUUAUUGUUCUUGCUUAUUUGUAGCUCGAUGUGAUACUAGUACUGUUAUGUGUUUGUGUUCACUAGUUAAAUUUAUCACCUAUGUACUACUUGCUGUAGAAACUUGCUACAUUUUAUAGUCCUUGUGCUAGCCAUGUACCUAUGAUACAAGUGUUUUUUAUGUGAUAUAUAUUUGUUUUGUCCUACAUACUUGUUUCUUCCCUCUGUUAAAUGUUAAAUAGUUAUAUAUAUGUUCAUGUCUUUUCAAUUCCCUAGCCGUUGAUGUAUGCCUGUGUUAGCAUUUUAUUUCUCAAGUAAAAUGAAAACACCAAAAAAUACAUUGAGUAAAAUCUGAAACUCCCUAUGCUAGUUUGUUAUUUUCCCCGUUGAUAGUUUUCUGGAACGAUCUUAGAUAGUUUAGGUUAUUAUUUUCUUGCAAUCUUCUCUUACAUUUGUGCUACCUAGCUUUAGCCAAGUACGGUCAUCGAUUUGCCUAGUCCCUGAGGAGAAUAUGACAUCCGUAGUUUGGGCGUAAAAACCCUGCUAUACUUACAAUUGAUCAUUUUGGCGCCGUUGACGGGGACUAGCAUCGAGCGAUUUUGUUUGGCUAUAGACUAGGUUUUACUUGUUUUCUCUUUGUGCCUUAUAUUUGUGUUAUAUCUCUUACCCCUAAUCACUGUUCUAGUUAUCUUUUCUUUCUUUUAUUGUUCAUUUUGUAGGCUGAAUUGUCUUCUUGGAAAUGGCAUUCUACUCAGAUCAUCAUGCUUAUGUGAGCAAUAGCACAAAUAGCUCGGAAAGUGUUGAAGACCUGAUAAGGCCAUUCACCCACUGAAUGUCAGCGUGGUUACUCUCACCCUCCGGAUUGUUUUGGUAUGAGCUUUGCUCAACAACAUAGCUCAUGCCAAAACAAUUACACACAUGGGUGGCCUGAAAACCAGAAUAUGCCAUAUAGGAACAACAACCCAGAGAUCUCACCGUUUGCUUCUAGUAAUCAUAUGCGGGGAUUUAGGUAUGGAUAGGAGAGCAACAACUAUGCACCACAAAAAUUUUAUUCACCUCCUACUCAUAUACUCCCUCUGUUCCGAAUUACUUGUCGCAGGUAUGGAUGUAUUUAGAUGUAUUUUAGUUCUAGAUACAUCCAUUUCUGCGACGAGUAAUUUGGAACGGAGGGAGUACCUCAACACCAGGAGAUGUUGCCAAUGGAGUUAAAUGGUCCUCCAUUUGGUCAACCAACACCUUCAACACAAGUGCCCACACAAGAUGAUUUUGAUGAUAUAGGCAAGCUCGCAUUGCUUAGUCUCGAGUUCACUUGGAGUGCUGAAGAUGAUCCAAUUAGGCCGGUGAUACUAGAUGAAGUGAAGAAGAUCAAGAGUGGGAAUGAGCUAGUGGAAGAAGUAAGGAAGAUUGAGAAGAACAUCAACGCUGACAGCACUAUUUCUUCACAGCUAGAGCUGAGUAUUUCUGGGAUAUUCCUUGAUACAUGUGAGGUCCCAACACCUUCACAUUCAGCCGAGCAAGAUAGCGAGAGUCCAGAGGAAGAGAUACUUCAGAUCCAAGAAGAAAUUCUCGAAGCCAAGACACAAGAUGUGAUCCAGAGCUCGAAUACCCAAAUGAACAAGUUGAAGAUCCAAUGUUCAUCUCUUUCAAAGAAGUAAAAGAAGCUGUUGUAGAUGAAGAUGAAGAACCUGAGAUUCAUUUGCCUAUUGUCAUACAAGAGCAUGAUGUGUCAGGUUCAUCCAAUCCUCUUAAUGACAUGUCCCAUUAUGUUUUGUUUGAUUCUACCUUGCUUUACAUGAUGCCAUCACUUAAGGUAGAUUUGAAGAAGUGUUUGCUUGGAUAUGAUGAUACAUAUACUGUUGGUGGCAUUGCUCGUAUUAAUGAUGAUCACACUUAUUUUUCUCAUGCCAAACCUAUGCUUAAGGAUAAAUAUCAUCUUAAUGCUAGUAUUGAGCUUGUUGAUUCCUAUCAUACUCGUCAUGUUCUAUAUUACUAUGCUUAUAUAAUUGGAUAUUCGAUUGACGACUUAGAGGGCAUCGACCCUAUCACUCGUAGUUGUUGUUUGUGUGAGUCCUAUUUCAGGUUUUUGCUUCUGCACCGUUCACUUCAUGUUAACCAGGUUCGAGGUGACAUUCCCUGGGACCCUGGUGGACUCGGAGCAUGGUGAUGAGGAGAAGCAGGGGGGCACACACGAAGAAGAUUGAAGCUGGAGCGUCCAUGAGGAAGCAAAGGAGAAGAGCUGCAGUUUAGAGAGUGAUCGAGCGAGUGCUACUUCAUUAAGCCCGGUGAGCUGUUUCAUGACCCAUUCCAAAUACUAUCAUCAUCCAUUGAUACAUGCUGAAAUAAUUUGACAUUUGGGUUGCUUGAGCCAUUUCUUAAAUAGUGCCAUGCUGAAUUUUACCUUUGACAUAUGGUGCUUGAUGUGAAUAUGUGAGUUGAUUGUUGAAUGCCUUGUAAACUAGUGAUCUACACAAUCCUUGCUUUGCUAAAAUUAGUGAGAACUAUUAGUUUUUAGUGCUCAAAUCCCUAGUACACUAGAAAACUGUCAUUUUCUGCGUUUACUAUGAUACACCUAGAUCACCAUGUUUAGAUGCUGAAUUUGUGCCAAGUGUGUUCCCAUUCAGAGCAAUCACCUAACCACUAUGGAGUAGCAUGCUAUGUUCCCUGAAUCGGUAGUAUGUGAACGAGACCUGGAUGAGUGAUGAUUCGUGUUUCCUUCUUGUAUUCAUUUGUUAAAUAAGUAAUAAUGAAUAAAUAAGUCUGACUACCUACAGUAGCAUGUCAUGUUCCCUGGAUCGGUGGCAUGUGAGAUCGGGUUAGCUUGGGCAGUAAUUAAUAAUAAAAAUGUAAUUGUCGAACCAGGUGUAUACCAUGUUCUCUGGAUCGGUGGUAUGUUCCUUUGGGGAGACAAAUAAAAAAACUAAUAAUUGGUUGAGCCAGGUGUAUACCAUGUUCUUGGGAUCGAUGGACUGUUCCUUUAGUGAGACCGAUGAAAUAUUGUUCUCGGGAUCAUGCUCUCUUUAGGAACCAUUUGGCACAGUCAUCAUUUAAACUUGUUGAUCCUCUUUUAUCAUUGUAAAAGUUUAAAAUGGUCAUGCUUACUAGUAUGCUACUGCUUUGUAUUACUCUUAACCAUCAAUUCUCACUAGCUAAGUCCAAAGCAUGCAUUGUUUGGAGAUCUACUUCACUUGGUCAUUCUCAAGUCAGGUCACUGUUCACUAUCUACUUGUCAUAUUCCUUUACUUGAGGACAAGUAAAGAUUUAAGUGUGGGGGAACUUGAUAAGCACAUUUCAUAUACAUAAUUUUGGCAUAGAAAUAUACCAUUUGUUGAGUUCUGACCAUCAAUUCUUGCUAUGAAAUAUUUAAUAUUUGAAUGAUAUUCAUGAAAGAGCAUGUUGACUAGUGAAUUGUUUGUUUUGCAGAAAAGUGCGCAAAGGCACUAUAAACUUCAAGAUUCGGUCGGAUUGCCAAACGCGAUGAGACUUGGGGCUUGAACGAGAGAACGAGGGACCCGAGCGAGAAGAAAAGAAGUAACCGAGGGGCAAAAGAAUGAUAGAAGGAUCUUCUUGUGAAGAAGGAAGAAGAGAUGAAGGGCCAAUUAGCAAACUGGCAGAUGAGAGGAGGGGAUCAAAUCCCUAGGGCAACCUCAAUUCCCCUCGGGCCUGGCUACAUCUCCUUCUCCCCCAACCUCCUUCUCCACCUCCGGCCGCCGCCACGGCCAGGUCGGCGUGGUAGGUGUGCCAUCCAUCUCCACCAUCCGCUUCACAGCAUCACCUCCUACCACCACAUCCACCAUCAGCGCCUCCAACCAUCCAGUCAUCACGGCCGCCACCAGCGCCGCAUCUCCACCACAUCUGCUGCCCAUCGGCUGCUCCUCUCUUUUCUCAAAGCCCCUGUUGCUUCUUCCUUCUCCAACCUCCUGUUGCUGCCUCCUCUUCCCCAAGCCCCACUGCUGCAUCUUUCUUGUUGCGCCCCUGCUUCUUCUUCUCCCUCUCCUUGCUGCUACUCCUUCCUCUCACGUCCGUCCCCCUGCUGCUGCUCUUCUUCUUGCGCCCAUCUGCUGCUGCUCUGCUUCCUCCACUAAACUGCUGCUACCUCUGCUCCUUCUCUGAACCGAACUGCUGCUGCUCCCUCUCCCACGAGCCUGCUGCUGCUCUUCUCUCCUUGAUGCCCUUGCUUCAUCUCUGAACCCAUCUCUGUUGCUGUUCUUCACCAAACUCUCACUGCUGCUGUUCCUUUCCUUCACUCUGUUUCUCUACAUUCUCAAGUAAUUUUGGUGUACCAUGAUUGUGUGAUGAUGAGAUAUGUUCAGUCCAGAGACACAUUAUUGUUCUUGCUUAUUUGUAGCUCGAUGUGAUACUAGUACUGUUAUGUGUUUGUGUUCACUAGUUAAAUUGAUUGCUAUGUGGAACUUCUGUAGUUUUGUAGCUUAUUUGUAAUAAUUAUUAAAGAGAACAACAAAGUUUUUUGCAUAAA